CCUACGGGAGGCAGCAGUGAGGAAUCUUGGACAAUGGGCGCAAGCCUGAUCCAGCAAUGCCGCGUGGGUGAAGAAGGCCUUCGGGUUGUAAAGCCCUUUCGGUGGGGAAGAAAUCGGCCGGGCGAAUAGUUCGGCUGGAUGACGGUACCCGCAGAAGAAGCACCGGCUAACUACGUGCCAGCAGCCGCGGUAAU
rnacentral:rRNA from 1 species